CAGUGUGUCUGACUCUCCUUGUUUUUAAUGAUUUUGACAGUUUUGAGGUGUACGGACUAGGUGUUCUGUAAAAUGUCCCUCCAUUUGGAAUUGUAUGAUGCUUGCUUAUGACUAGACUUGGAUUAUGGGCAGGAACUGACUUGUAAAGUUUUUUUAAUUUUAAUGAAAAAUUUUAAAUUGAUACUUGGUUCAGUUAUCAGACAACCUUUAACCCUGUUUGGAACAACUUGGAUAUGUGGAUCUACUCUUUAACUAUAAAUGUUAGAAAAUAUAAUUGCAGAUCAAUUUUAGCAUUCAAAUUGAGAUGUGCCAUAAGUGAAAAAUACACAAUGGAUUUCAAAGACUUCAUACAAAAUGAAGGAUAUAACUGAUCUCAUUAAUAAUUUUUUUUAUUGACUACAUGUUGAAAUGUAUCUUGGAUAUAUUGAAUUAAAUCGUACAUAUUAUUCAAAUUGAUUUUACCGGGCUUCUGGGCUAGUAGGAAGUGUGAAAUAAGUGUGGCUCACAGAUUUUUAUUGGAUAACACUGCCCUAGAUAAUAACAAUACAUUAAUUGAGAA
ensembl:lncRNA novel transcript, sense intronic to ZSCAN5A